CCUCACAUAAACCGUCCACCUCGGCCUCCCAAACCGCUGGGAUUACAGGCAUGAGCCACUGCGCCUUACCUAUUUUUCCCUUUUCCCAGGUUUGUACAGCCCCUAAUUUGUCCCAGUGUUUAUCCCACAUGACUAGAGUAAAUCAUGACUGGACGAAGGUCAUAUUCCCUCACAGUUAUUAUUUUGAACACUUACUUUUUGUAAUUAGGUAUUCAUUUGAGAUUUAUUUCUCUCCACCAGAUUGGAACUCCAUGAAGGUGUGAUUAUGCAUAUUUUUGAUGACCACAGUAUCCCCUGGCAUACCGUAGGCACCUAACAUUGACCAAAAGCCUCCUAGCCUUUGCAAAGGCUUGCCUUUUUCUAAUCUAUGUCCAUCCUGCCACCAGAGUGAUCUUAAAAGGAUUCCUGUGUUUGAAGAGCAAAUGCCUUCAAUAUGCCAGGCAUAGUAUCAAUUGCUUUACAGAAUCCAUCAAGAACACUAUGAGAGACAACCAAUAGUAUGAAAAAACCAGCAUGCAAUCACCAAAAUCCAAACUAAGAAAAACUCUACAAAGUGAACAACACUUCUUCAACAAAUAUAUUGCAAGAGGGCAGAGAGAUGCUGAUAAACCAGUAAGUGAGUGAACCCAAACCUGCAGCUUCAGCAUCACCUGGGAAUUUGUGAACAACACUUCUUCAACAAAUAUAUUGCAAGAGGGCAGAGAGAUGCUGAUAAACCAGUAAGUGAGUGAACCCAAACCUGCAGCUUCAGCAUCACCUGGGAAUUUGUUAGAGAUGCAAAUUCCCAGACUCCACAGCAGACUUACAGAUCACCACAUCUGGAGUGGGGCCCAGCAGUUUGUAUUUGAACAAGGCUCUAGUGAUUCUGAUACACUCUAGUUUGAGGACCACAACAAUAGAAGAAAUGUAGGAUGCAUAUCAGCCAGCUGCAAUAUUCAGUACCUUAUUUGGUUCCUUGUUCCAAAAAACUGCCAAAACUUUUUACAUCUAUAGACAACAUAUAAUAUUAAGAAAUUGUCCAUUUUCUUAGGUGUAAAAAUGGUAUUAAGAUUAUACAUAUUUUUUAAAGCCCUAAAAUACUUACAGAUGAUAAGAUUUGCUUCCAAAUAAUACAGAAAGGGCAAAAGCAGGUGCGGUUACAGAUGACACAAAUUAGCUAGGAGCCAAUAAUUGUCAAAGGUGGAGGAUGGGUUACCUAGGUGUUCUUUAUUCAUUCCUCUCUCUCUCUCUCUCUCUCUCUCUCUCUAUAUAUAUAUAUAUAUAUAUAUAUAUAUAUAUAUAAAAUAGUAUAUUUUUGAGAUUUUUUUAUUCUAAAAUUUUUUUAAAACUCAAACCAGAAUAAAUUAAAACAAAAGAUUGUGACUUAAGCAGAAUUAAUCCGAAAGAAGAGAAAGUAUAUAGUACUUUUACUUAAAGGGCAGUAUUGAAAUACAUAAAAUAAGUAUAAAUAGUCUGAAAAAAACCUACUCCAUACUAGUUUGUGGCAAAAUGCUUUUGUUUAAGAAGUAAGGGAGAUCUAGAUGCUCUAUCAAUUGUCUGAUGUCAUUUUAAAUAACUGGCCCCAUUGGAGAGAAUGACUUACCUGGGAAGAAAGAGGUCCAGUCUGGUCAAGGGCAUAUGAAUACCUACACAUAUUUGUUUUCCAAUUUCCAAACUAGCUUAGCUUUUAGAAUGUAACCUGUUAAUAAACUCAGGUUUACCAUCAUUUUUAAAAGUUUACCACUUUAGCAUAUUAUGAUUGCAACCUGAGUAGACUAAUGCAGAUAUUAGUAACGGCUGUUUUUUUUCCCCUAGACAGGAGACAAUCCAUCUCUUACAUAGGGAAAAUAACCAAAUUAUGUGUUAUGAGAGAGGUUCAGAGGCCUGUCUUGAAAUGUCAUCUCCAGUGAUCUGGUGAUGCUGUGGACCUAGAGUGUCAUCCAAAUAACUAGUCUUGAAAUUUCUUCAGGACAAGAAAUUUUUAAAAAACGAAUUGUGAGGCUACAGUAGCCCUUAAUAACUCCUUAAAUUUAAUUGUUGUGACAGGUUUACUUCCUCUGUAAUAUAUCUUUGUUAUUGUGCUUUUAAGAAUAGAGUGAAUAUUCAUAAGCAGAAUAGUUCAGAAAAAAAUUUAAAAGAAUUUUUUAAUGAUAUAGGGUGAAUAGAUGUAAUCUCUCCUUUUUAACUUCUCCCUCUUAUUUAUUCUUUAGCAUGGAAACAUAAUUUGUAUAUGAAAACCUGGUCCAUAAGAAAUCUGAUUGGAAAGCACCAACUUCAAAGCCUCAGGGUAUGAGUGAUAGAGUGUGCUAUACAUUCUCACUUUAAAAAGGUGAUGGCAGAAUUCUGAGGAUGGUUUCAUGUUUUAUUUUAGAUAUUUCGUAUUUGUCAUUAUUGUUAUUAUAAGCAUAAUUUUCUUCAUUAUCAUUCAAAUUAUUAAUUUGCUUAGAGUGGUCAAUGAUAUGGAGAAAAGACCAUUAAAAGUCAUCACCAUCCAUUAUCAGACAUCAUUCUGAUAAAAGUAGUCUCAAAAUAGGGACUUCUGUUCCCUUUCAUCUGCUUUGAGCUCCUGCUGUGUUCCCACCCAUGUUGACUACUUUGUAAAAAGGAGAAAAAAAAAGACAAAGUCCAACUUUAGAGAGCUCUAGUUGAGGAGAUGAGGUGAUGAGAAGAGAAUCACCACAUACCUAUGAGGAGGCUGCAAUAGAGAGCUUGACAGCCUGGACUGUUCGGCUUUACACUGGUUGAAUUCCAAUCCUGACUGCCACUCAAUAGCUCUGUGAUGCGGAGCAAGUUACUAACCUCCCCUGCCCCAGUUUCCUCAUCUGGUAAAUGAAAGUAAGAACAGUAAUUACCUUGUAGAGUUGUCUUGGGAUAAUCCUUAACUUAGAUAAUCCAUAAAACACUCAAAUUUAUCCAUAUAUACAUCCAUAUAUUUUAUUUCUCUGUUGACCACUGUUUCUUGUAUCCCUUACCUUUGCCUUGGGCAGACUCUUCUUUUUUGUCCUUGAAAUAUAACCUUUAAUAAUUCAAUUCUCUUAGUUUUAUAUGUCUAAACAUGUCUUUAUUUUGCCUCCAAUAUUGUGCAUAAAAUUCUAAGUUGACACUUAUUUUCCUCAGCACUUUGAAGAUAUUUUUCCACUGUCUUCUGGACUUUACAGUGCUGAUAAGAAAGAAGCUUACUGCUGGUUUAACAAUGAUUGCUUUGAAAAUUAUGUAUUUUUUUCUUACUGGUAGAAUACUCACAUUUAAGUAGACAUUUGAUGAAUGUGCAUAUUUAUUGAUAAGACUCCACACAGGACUCCUAAUUCCAUAGAUUAUAGGGGAGGAUCAUGGUACAAACAUCCUCCUCCCUUAUGAAGGGGCAUGGCAGAAACUGAAGGCUAUUGUGACUAAAAGGAAGCUCUGCAAGAUUAAUAACAUAUAACCAUAACCUUGCCUCCAAGGGGGAUCUAAGAGUGUCCCCACAAGAAUCUGAGAGACUGUAAGAGGAUAUGAAGAGAACAGCUGAGGACCCUUAUUUUUAUUUAUUUAUUUAUAUUUAAUUUUUUUUUCAGACAUCAGUGUUACUUGCCAAGACCCUCAUUUUUAAACUCCCACGAGUUAUUACGUUCCUUUCCACUCUUGCUUUCCAAUUCCUACACUAGGACAAGUCUGUAUUUUGAGUAUAUGAGUCAAGUAUGGCAAAAACUACAGUACUUUAAAAACUUUUAUUUUAGUCCUUCCUGGCCCAUGCUAAAACUUACAUCUAGAAAUAUGGCAAAACAAAAUGAAACAGAUCUCUCCUUGUACAUAAAAUAGCUAAAAAUUUGGCCUCUUUAUUGAUCUUAUGUCAUAUAUUU